ensembl:lncRNA
CGGGGGGGGAGCACCGUCCUGACUCCUGCGUGCUACGGUCGCCUAUGCCGAGCGCCAGGGCAAAAAUAAGACAUUAGAAUAGCCUAUAUAGCCUGCGUGCACCUACCCGAUGUCAAGAAGCCAUCGCUGCUCCGACGGACCUUUCUCCCCCAGCCAGGCAACGGCAAUUAACUACAGCCGCCCUUCCUGGGUAACGCCACCACCAAUCCCUGGUCAUCCAUUGAAGCCAUCUCUCUCACUCUGCACAGUCACACUGUUAUCGCUUCAUUCUCAUUGUCUCAUAAUCUCAUUAUUAUGGCUGCUGUGGAUGCUUUAAAAAAAAAAAAAAUUAUCUUAGGUAAAAUCAAACCAGUGGGAUUUUAGAUUGAAAACCUCCAAAGCAAUGUAUUAAAAAUCGAAAGACAGUCCUAUGUGAAGUUUCUUUUUUGGGGAUUUUCAAAAUGAGGUACCAGAAUGGAUUGUCAACCCACUGUUUCUCAACCCUCUCCGAUUAUUACUAUGAGUAGUAGUAUUGCAUGCAUACAGUACUC